CUUCAAUCAUAGUUCACUCACCAGAAAAGAAAAUGCAGUCACAACACACGCGAUCCCUUGAUUUGGAAUGAACUUGCCACCUUUUUACCAUAUAUCUUAGUGACCCUACCACUGAUUUGGAAGCAACCUACCAGUCUUCAGACCAAAAGUAGACAAGAGCACAUGCAGGUAACUUUUAGGCGAUGCCGAGCUCCUUUCCUCGACCCUCCUUCUGCUCCAUCUUGUAAGCAGACAUGGAAGCAGCAGCAGACGAGGAGAGGCCCCUGCUACAUCUGCAACCGCUGCUUAAUCAGGAUGUAGGUUCAGAAUACACCAGCGAUGGAUCUGUUGACAUCAACAAUCAGCCUGCUCUGAAGCACAACACAGGCAAUUGGAGGGCGUGCUACAUGAUUUUAGGCGUCGAGUUUUGCGAAUGC